GUCUUUUUGAAAAUAAUUUAAAGUCAAAUCUGCCCACUGAUUUUAUUAAAGGGCUGCAGUAAAUUGACUGUACAAAGGUAGCAUAAUAAUUAGUCUUUUAAUUGAAGACUUGUAUGAAGGAUUUAAUGAGAUAUAAGCUGUCUCUUUUUUAUAAUUUGAAUUUAAUUUUUUAGUAAAAAAGCUAAAAUUUAUUUAAAAGACGAGAAGACCCUAUAGAGUUUUAUAUUUAAUUUAAAUUAUAAUUUUUUAUUAAUAUUAAAUAAAAAUUAAAUUAAAUAUUUUAUUGGGGUGAUAGAAAAAUAAAAUUAACUUUUUUUAUACAUAUACGAAAUUAUAUUCUUAUAUAAACAUAAAUUAAUGAAAAAAUGAUCCAUAAUUUAUGAUUAUAAGAAAAAAUUACCUUAGGGAUAACAGCGUAAUUUUUUUUUUUAGUUCAAAUAAAAAGAAAAGUUUGCGACCUCGAUGUUGGAUUAAGAUAAAAUUUAAAUGUAGAAGUUUAAAAUUUUUGAUCUGUUCGAUCAUUAAAAUCUUACA
rnacentral:rRNA from 1 species